UUGUACACACCGCCCGUCGCUCUUACCGAUGGACUUCUCUGUGAGUUUGAGGGACUGGGAACGCAAAUUCUCUGCACACCUAUGGAAACUUAAACGAACAGUGUGGUCUAAAGGAAAGAGAAGUCGUAACAAGGCAUCGGUAGGUGAACCUGCCGAUGGAUCAUUACGCGUUAUUUUUACAUAUAAAUUUUACACACACACACACACACGCAUGUAAUUUUUAUACGGUAUAUAACACGCUCUUCGUACCAGGCGUGCACGUGUCUCACAAACAUAUGCGCGCAGGUACGUAACUCAAUCUCGAAACAAGUUAGCCUGUAGACUUUUGAUCUCAGGCACCAUGCAUACUUACGUGUGCAUACCCCUUUCAACUGGAUCAAAUAAUUCUAUUCAGCUCUGCGGAGUCUAACCCCAUGAAAAUUUUGUAUAAGAUUUUGUGUAGACAACACACAUACACACUGCAUGAGCGAUGGAUCUCUUGGUUCCUUGCAUCGUUGAAGGUCGCAGCGAAUUGCGAAAUGUUGGUCGUGUGAAUUGCAAGACACAUUGGCCCUUUUCGGGCUGCGGAACACCUUACUCACUGAACGGUUUAUAUCGCUUAGCAGAUUAAUCUUCGUGUUCGCACGUAGACUGCAGCGCGCUCGGUUGAGAGUGCUUUAUAUGUUUACAUGCAUUGAUUUGCAUCUGCACAUAUUUUUUUCUCGCGUCGUUUUUUUACGCACGCGGGAAAUCGUUCAAAAUUCUCUCCUAUGAAUAGUGUAACGCUUUACUCACACACACACACACACAAAGCUAGUACACACGCGGAAUAUAUUUCUUCACUGCUAAUAUUUUCCACCGCGUAAAAUUUAUUUUUUACUGCGUACGCAUCGUAUAUACCUUUACGCACAGAGAUUUAUACCCUCGCACUGUCAACAGAAUUUAUUCUUUGGCUGAGACUAAUUUAUUUCUGCCGAGGCUUUAUACACCCGCGUACAUUUCUGCAGUGAGAUAUUUUACGCUACUCUUCCUAAGGCACAUCAGCUCGAGUGAU
rnacentral:rRNA from 1 species